CAUCCUACGGGGGGCAGCAGUGGGGAAUAUUGGGCAAUGGGCGAAAGCCUGACCCAGCAACGCCGCGUGAAGGAAGAAGGCUUUCGGGUUGUAAACUUCUUUUGACAGGGAAGAGCAGAAGACGGUACCUGUCGAAUAAGCCACGGCUAACUACGUGCCAGCAGCCGCGGUAAUACGUAUGGAGCAAGCGUUAUCCGGAUUUACUGGGUGUAAAGGGAGCGCAGGCGGCUUUGCAAGUCUGAUGUGAAAGGCCAGGGCUCAACCCUGGGACUGCAUUGGAAACUGUA
rnacentral:rRNA from 1 species